AAAGCACAGAGCUAUUCCUUGGAGAGAUUGGUGUUGCCGUGUUUGUUGGACUGGCAUGAGACAGAACAACAAUACCAUGAAAGUGAAACUGAAAAGAAAUCACAAGAUAGACGAUGAUGGAGGAACUGAUGAUCCAUCCCUUUAGAGACCUCGACGGUAUCAUCGAGAAAGAGAUUAAAUUUUAGAUCCAACUUCAAAGGUAAUUGAAACUCUAUAACUACAACAAUACUUCUAAGCUAUGUAUUUGAAACUCUAUAUUAUUUUGCUCCAGUUAUGUUAUUGUCUAAAAAUGGAUUGGGUUGAAAACAACUCCUCUUUGAUCAUAUAAAAUAUCUAACCAAUCUACAACAGUGUAAUCCCACUUGUGCGUCCACAAAAUUUAUGGAUUAAAACAUCACGGGAUGAAAUAAACACUACACACCUACUUGUGCGUCCACAAAAUUUUCUUGUGCAAGAAUAUAACAUAAUCUGCUAUCAAGCAUAUAGAGACAUCCUAUAGUUGCAGACUUGAAUCAAUCAAUGAAUAGAUCCAACCACAAAUAAUAACCAAGAUUAAACACAGCUAAAAAAGGUCUCUACUUGUGUAGCGUCCACAAAUUUUAUCGAACUAAACAGUAGAGACAUCUGGUACUUGCAUCCCUAUCUAGCUUACCAAUUCAUUCUGUUUGAACUAAACAAUAGAGACAUCUGGUUCUUGCAUCCCUAAACAGUAAAGACACUGGCUGAACAAAAUUUUGGGCAGACCUACCCAUUCAUUCUAUGGACGCUACACAAGUACUCGCAGACCUACCCAUUCAUUCUAUUUGAACUAAACAAUAAAGACACUGGCUUCAAACAGUAGAGACAUUUGGUAGUGCUAGAAUCAAAGUAAUUCGAACUAAACAGAGGAGACAUUACCUUGCAAAGUUGACGCCAAAGCAGAACUAUUCCUUCGAGAGAUUGGGGCUGCCGUGUUUGUGGCCUGGGGUGGCAUGGUUUUUAAGGACGACCCAAAUCGGCGUCGAUGGUAGGUCUGCAUCGAUUUGGGGUGAGGUUUUGGGCAGCAUGAUUCUCGUCGGUGGUAGGUUUGCGGGCUUUUAGGCUCCCAGAUUCUCGUCGAUCUGGGGCGAUGUUGGGGUCCCGCGCGCGAUUGUGUCGAUCUGGUGCAGAGGAGACAACCGUUGUGGCGGCACCACGGAGGCGGCACAAAAUUGAGAAGGUGCGCUGGGAGCCGACGAUAGGAUGUCACGGCAGCCGGCAGAGAUUUGUGCUGUAGCGACGGGAGGAGGGAGGGAGGAGGCGAGCGGGGCGAUGGGAACCGAAGUCCGAAGGAGCAGCACGAGAUGGAGGGCGGGAGCAGGGGCAGUGGUCACGGGAUUGAAGGUCGACUCUUUUGCCGUGGAUGGAAGGCGACGUCGAUGUAUACGUGAGGAUGGAAGGAGCCGCCGAGGUUGGAAGGCGGGGGCUCGAUCCUUGCUUUGUCGUAGGCGAGAUUCGUGGCCGCGGGUGUGGUCGGCGAGGACGACAGAGGCAAGGAUGGAAGGGUGCGGCAUGCGCGGCGGCGAAAAUGGUGGAGGUGCGGCGCGGAAAUCUUGGGAGGCGGAGGCGCAAGCGGAGCGGAGGAUGUCAGGGUGGGAGGCAGAACCGUGGGUGUGCACGCCUACACUCCUUUCUUAAGGAGUAGUAGAGAUUAUGAUCCAUAAAAAUGUUAAUGAUCCUCAUGUUAAAAGCCGAUUAACAAAGAUCUAUAUAUGAAAAGACUUACUUACUAGAGAGAAUUCUAUUAGCCGUCACCGCCUCCAAGGAGCGGACCCAAUGGGUGGUCCAUAUAGGCCACGACGCACCCUAAGAUCAUAUAAGGUUAGUUAGCAUAGUGGUGUAAGUAUUAUCUUUUGAACUUGGCAGUCAAGGUUUGAGUCUUGUUGAUUUCUGUUUUUUGUUUCUUUUUUUAUAUUUUUUCUGGCACACCCUAAGCGUAGUAGCUGGGUCCGCUACUGCCGCCUCCUCUCUCCUAGGGUUGUGGACGUCUAGUCUAAUAACCCAUCGUUGUUUCCCUCGCUGCGUGCGCGUUGCAAGCACAAUGUUCAUGUGGUAUUUUAUCCCUGCAUGUGUGGGUACCAUGGAAACGUCACGACUAUUGUUGAGGUAUUGAUCAACAACAAACUUGAGGAGUACAUGUGAACGUUUUGUUGUUGUUGUUGGUACGCAAGGACGUUUUGCUACUUCAACUAUAAAGACAUGUUCUUUUACAGUUGCGCUGCAUGUAUAGUGAUAACAAUCCAUGAUCCUUUACUCACAUGCUAUCUUAGUUGAACAAGGUAGAUAUGCAAGUAUGUAGCAUACACAUUUUCUAUAGUGGUAUUGGAGCUAGGUUAUGUGUUGUUUUUUAUCUAGAUGGUUUGCAUAUAGGUGAUAUGUCUAGUAAAUCGGAUAUAGUUUUGCUUUGGUUGUAAAAUAGACUGAGAUAGUUGUGGUAUAAUCACAUAACUUGUUUUCCCCUACCUGCUAGAAUCACCAUCGCAAUAUAAGAUCAGUUGCAUUCCAUUCCGGCCAGUAGAGGAGGAUAAAAGAAAAUAUAGGUAUGGCUGGAAAAAUAAAAAAGGUAGGCAACAAGAAUCGAUCCUACGACCUAUAGCUAAAAAUGUAGCAAUCUAUCCAUUACACCACAUCUCCUUAUGUGAUUAUAAUGGAAGAUAUAGGGUUUUAUAAAUUUAGGUAUGUCUGAUGCCAUACUAAGCCAUAAUGGCUCCUCCGCCACUGAUUCCGGCCACUCGCACAACUUGCCUCCACUGGUUGGAAUCACCAUUAGGACUAACAUGUUAUCUAUCUUUUAGGCUGGGAAAGACAACAAAUCUGAGUUGAAUGUAUUGCUAUUAUUCUAUCUCACGUGAUUUCCAAUAUGUCUAACACUGAAAAUAGCGGCAUUUGGAAUAUCUCGGAAUCAACUUAAUUUGAUCAAUUUGAUGAGAAUGCAAGUGAUGCUAACCAGAGUACUUAUGAGAAGCACACAAAUGACUCCAUGUACGUUAGUUGCAUUAUACUUGCCAUCAUAUCCUCUUAGCUUCAAAAGCAAUAUGAGUAUGUGGAUGCCCAAACUAUGAUUGUGGGACUCCAUGGUAUGCUUAUGAACCAAGCAAGAGUUGAGAGAUAUGAGAUCUUCAUGUCCCUAUUUUCAUGCAAGCUAACUAAAGGAAGUCCAAUUAGUCCUAAUGUAAUCAAGAUGGUGUUUUACAUUGAGAGCCUUGCCACGCUUGUUUUCGCUCUUCUUGAUGAGUUGGCUACGGUUAUGAUCCUCUAGUAUCUUCUUGAUAAGUUGUAUGGGAUGCUUAAGACGACCAAGGAGAGCAAUAUAAAGAAGUGUAAUCAUGUGAUGACAGUUCAUAAGGAUAGUAAGAAUCAGAAAAUCUUUAUGAAGGGCAAGGGAAAGGCUAAAGAUGAUAUCUCAAAUCCAAAUGCAAAGCCCAAGUCUGCCCUUCUCCUGAAGACAAAUGCUUCCAUUGUGGUGACCAUGGGCAUUGGUCUAGGAACAACAAGUACUUGGAGGACAAGAAAAAGAAAGAAAGUGAGACUUCUACUUUGGGUAUAUAUGUUAUUGAAAUUAAUCUUCUUGUUUCUUCUAGAGAAUCAUAUGCAUUUGAUACCAUAUCAAUGGUUCAUACAUGCAAAUUGUUGAGGGACUAAAAAGACUAGAAAAUUUGCAAGAGGUGAGUUUAAUAUGUGCAUCAGUAAUAGAGCAAAGGCAUUGCACUAGCCAUCGACACUUAUCAUUUGUUGUUACCCUUAGGGUUAGUUUUGGAAUUAAAUAAUUGUUAUUAUAUUCCAACUUUGUCUAAGAACAUUAUAUCUUCUUCAUGUUUAGAGGAAGAUGGUGGCUAUAAGAUAAUAAAUGAGAACAUAUGUUGUUCCAUUCAUUUGAAUAAUCUAUUUUAUGCAUGAUUUCCAUUAGUGAAUGUGUUGUAUAUCCUAGAUCUUGACGAUAACAUUAAUAUGAAAAGGCUCUAUAACCUAAUGAUUUCGACCCCACUUUUAUCCGGUGUUGUCUAUUUGGUCAUAUAAAUGGGAAAUGCAUAGAGAUGCUCCAUAAAUAUAGUCUUCUCAAGUCUUUUGUGUAGGAAACGGUGACGCCUAAGAGGGGGUGAUAUAGGACUUCAAAAAAUUUGCCUAUAAACCAAACCACAAAUAAAUCCCUAGAACAAAACCUAUGCAAAUAAGCAAUCUAGAAUGUGCAAACAAGGUUUUGUCUAAGUGUUGCUAUCUCUACUGCAAAAGGAGUUUUGCUACCUAAGUUCCAAUCAUAAAUAUUCUAACUAAAAUGGAGAGAUUGAAACUUAAGUACUUAUUGUAAAUGCGAAAGGUAAAGAGCAAAGGUAGAGAAAGCAAACUCUCGUGGAUAACGCCGAUAUUUUUUCCGAGGUAUCUAGAACCACACAAGGUCCCAACUAAUCCUCGUUGGUGCUUCUACACAAAGGGUAGCUUAUGCAAGGGUCGAGCACCACAGACGAAUAACUUCGUAGAGAGGCGCGGGACUUCUCUACGCGCAAAUGGUGCUCCGCUUCCAGCUACUCAUGGAUGUUCCCCGUCGUCUCCACUAUCGAGCUUCUGGCCAAAACAUCACGGGCCUCGUUCCCUUCGAUACACGGUGGCGGUCGUGACACAAACGCGGUUGUCACAGUCUCGCAAGACUCUCGCCCCACUCGGUACAAUUACAAUGGCUCGCACAAGAGCCGAGGGGUUUUGUGGUGUUUUCUAAACUCACUCAACUAACUAGGAAUCACCUAAAGCAAGCACAUAAGCGGUCUAACUAACCUAAGCACUUCAGAAAGCACCUAUGCUAAUCAUCGAGUGUCUAUUAAGCACUUGGGUGUAUGAGUACUUGGAAAUGUCUAUAACAUGUGUUGGUAUGUUGCUUGGGCUCCCACACCUUCAAAUGGCAGGUUGGGUGAAGUAUAUAUAGGCCCCAACUUAAAUAUAGUCGUUGGAGAAAAGUUGUUGCUCUCUGCAGCACACCAGACAGUCCGAUAGUAGGCAUCGGACAGUUCGAUGCUGUGUCUGAUGCCCCACUAGCCAUUGGAUAUGAGUGUUGCAUUCGACCGUUUCCACGUGUCAGCCUUGCACUAGACAGUCCGGUGGUGCACCGGACAGUCCGGUGACUCUCCUCCACUUUGUCACCAAGAAACUAGUCGUUGGACUUCUGUUCCCCAGUGCACCGGAUAGUCCACCGGGUGGCACCAGACAGUAUGCCGUUCUCAACCGGACAAUCCGCGAGUGGCUACACUUUCUUCAAGUCUUGGACUUUGCUUGAUACUGUUGAUCUUCACUUAUGGUCUUCAUAAUGUCUUCUUUUGAGAUGUUGCUUCCUCAGUGCCUUAGUCCAAGUCACUUUAGCAUCUUGUGAAUUACAAAUACAAACACUAGCAAACAUAUUAGUCCAUAGAUUAUGUUGAUCAUCAACCACCAAAAUCAUUUAGUUAAAUGAGUCGAGGUCCAUUUUCCUUACAUUUUUAUUUUGUAUAAUUUUAUACUUGAGGUCAUACUUACUUGACAAAAUUACUAAGGCACAUUUUCUAGUAAAAGUGAGAGAGCAAGUGACUUGGGUGGUCUUGUACAUACUGAUGUAUGUGAACUAACGAGUUCAAUAGAUAGAGGUGAGUUUUAGUAUUUCAUCAUUUUUAUUGAUGAUCUCAGUAGAUAUGGGUAUGUCUACUUAAUGAGGCAUAAAUAUAAAUCAUUUGAAAUGUUAAAAGAAUUUCAAAAUGAGUUACAUAAUUAGUUGGGGAAAACUAUUAAGUUUGUAUGAUCGGAUCAUGGAGGCAAAUAUUUAAGCCAUGAGUUUGAUGAUAAUCUAAAACAAUAUGGAAUUGUUCCAUAGUUGACUCCACCUGAUAUGCCUCAAUAGAAUGGGGUCUCUCAACAAAGGAGCUAGACUUUGCUAAAUAUGCUUUGAUCAAUGAUGAGCCAAGUUGAUCUUCCAUUAUGCUUCUAGGAUAUGCUCUAGAAACUAUUGUGUUUUCAUCAAACAUAGUUUCAUCUAAAUUAGUGGAUAAUACACCAUAUGAGAUAAGGACCAAGAAACAUCCUAGACUAUCUUUGCUUAAGAUAUGGUGUUAUGAGGCUUAUGUGAAACAUUUGACAUCUGAUAAACUCCAUCCUAAAUUUGAUAAGUGCUUCUUUGCAGGGCAUCUUAGGGGAAUCAAAGGAUAUUUAUUCUAUAGCCAGAAAGAAGGCAAAGUGUUUGUUGCUUAGAAUGGUGUCUUUUGGAGAAAUAGUUUCUCUCAAAAGGAGCUAGUGAGAGCAAGGUGCAACUUUGAAGAUUCAAGAAACAAUUGAAAUGGUUUUAGCCCCUACAAAUCCUCUACACAAAGUACAAUAAGUUGUAGAAGCAAUUAUUGAAGCACUGCCACUAUGUAGGCAUAGAGGACAUGUCACACUACUAACGAGGAUUAGUCGGAACCUUGCGUGGUUUUAGAUACCUCGGUUAAAAUACCGGCGUCGUCCACGAGAGUUUGCAUCUCUACCCUUGCUCUUUAUCUUUCGCAUUUACAUUAAGUACUUAAGUUUCAAUCUAUCUUCUCUAGUUAGAAUAUUUAGGAUUAAAACUUAGGUUUUGCGGUAGAGAUAGCAACACAUAGACUAAACCUAGUUUACACAUUCUAGAUUGUUUAUUUGCAUAGGUUUUGUUCUAGGAAUUUAAUUAUGGCCUAGUCUAGAGAUAGUUUUUAGACGUCCUAAUUCACCCCCCUCUUAGGCGUCACCGUUUCCUACAAGUGGUAUCAAAUAUCGAUUUGUCUCGUUUGAAAUGUUUUAGCUUCACCGCUAAUCGAGCCGACACUUUUUUGAGGAAGGGGAUGUAUACCCAUUUGGCUAAAAUUGCAUGAGCUCCAUGACGAGACAUCCAAUGUCAGUGAGCAAAAACAUUGCCUAGUCUUAAAUGAUUACAAUUAUUUUGCUAUGAAAGAUAAUGAGCUUGUUAGAGACAUAUAUUCUCGUUUGAAUCUAAUCAUCAAUGAACUCAAUUCUAUUCGAAUUAAUAAGUUAGGCGAUGCGGGCAUUGUGAGGAAUAUUUUCUCCCUACUGCCACAACAAAGAUAUGGGACCAUCAUCACCAUUCUUCACAACAUGGAGAACUUGAGUACAAUGACCCCGACAAUUGUGAUCGGAAAGAUUGCGGCAUUUGAAAUGUCGUGAAAGAUGGGUCAAGAGGAGCUAACUUCUUCAAGGCCAUAUGCUUUUGCAUGUGAUUAAAAGAAAGGCAAGAAAAAGGCUCCCACUCCAAGCUCCUAAAGUGAAGAAGAGGAAGAAGAAUGUGAUGAUGAUGAAGAUGGUCAACCCUCAACAUCAGCCUCCAAGGACGAAGAAACAAUCUGAGACAUCAAAGUUAAUGGGGAUGAUUCACAAGAUUAAUCUAAUGGGUGUGCCCCUGCAGGUCGAGGAUCUUCUCUUUAACAUUGACAUCAAAAGCAAAGAAAGAGAUGAUGCUUCACAUGCGGGGAGAAGGGCCACUUCAAGGACAACUGUCCAAAUAUGGCCGAACCCACAAAGAGGAGGAGCAAAGACAAGAUGCUUACAAGUGUCAAAACUUGGGAUGACUCUUCAAGUGAAAAUGAACCUCCAAGGACACGCAACCACCGCUCUUCAUCGCGCACUUCAUGGUCAUCACACAAAUGCCUUAUGGCAAGAGGUAAAGCAAGUAUCCCAUCCUCUAGUGACGAUAAUGAUGAUGAGGGAAAACCCUCCUUAGAUGAACUUCUGCAUGUCGUUAAAUUUUUUUGAGGAUGUCUACACUAAACAAAAGGCUCAACUUAAAACUUUAAAAAUAAGUUAAUUAGCUCUUAAAAUGUUUAUAAAUGUUUGCUAGAAAAUUUGAAACAUUUGCAAAUUUGAAUUGUGAGCUAACAACUAAAAUUGAGCAAUUAGAGUCUAAUGCUCCAUCCUCAACUACCGAUGAUAGUCUUAUAAAAAAGAAUGAAAAACUUAAGGCUAAGUUAGCUAGCUCUCAAGAAGCUAUUGAAAACUUGCUAGAGAAAAUGGAAAUUCUUAGCAUACACAAUAACGAGCUAACUACUAAGCUAGAAAACAUUGGUAGCACCCCAGGAGCAUCUUUAAUUGAAAUUCCUGAAAUCAUUAAGAAAGAUGCUUCUACUUCUUGCUUUGAUUAGUUGAUGAUUCUAACCCCUGCAACCAAGUUCUUAUUGAGAAUGUUGUUAUAGAAACAUGUUCGAAUGAGGUUGCAAAGGAGAAUGAGCAAUUAAGGCAAGAGGUGGCUCGCCAUGGCAAGGCCUUGUAUGAUAAGAAAGGCAAAGCGAAACAAAUUCAACCUCCUCAGGAUAACACCACUGCGGGAGUGAACAAGCCUAUGGAUGAAGAAACUGUGAUUUGUAGGCUAUGCCACAAGGAAGGCCACAAGUCUUACCAAUACAAGGCGGAGAUCAGAGAUAAGCAAAAGCAAAAGCUUAAGAAAAAAUCAACAAGCAAAAUCUCCAACACCUACAUCAACAAGGUGGACAAAAAUACCGCUACACCAUAUUUGAUCAAGAAGAAAAAGAAUGGAAAGGUGAUAGUGAUCAAGGCAAAUAAGCAAGCCAACAAAGGAAAGGGGGCCAAACACAUCUGGGUGCCAAAGGAGAUUAUCUCAACCAUGAAAAGCACCAAGAAGGUUUGGAUCCCAAGAGGGAAGUGAGAAGUCCAAAGGACUUUGGGAAAUUUGGAGACUUGUGGGAUGCAUCAUAUUGGAUCAAGUCUAUUGCCAAGUGGGUUAGUGAAUACUUUGGGCCCAAAUUCCCCACCCAUGACUAAGGUAACUAGAUUUAUUGCAUUUCUUUAUUUUUAUAUAUGAGUAUCUAUUUUCUUAUAUCUAGUUUUUACCUUACAUGCCUAGUUUUUACAUGUGGUAUUUACUUUUGAUUAUAAUUGCAUGCAUACUAGGUCAAUCAUAUGAUAGGAAUGCUUGUUUUCAAUUCAUAUUCUUGAGCAAACCUACAUGGUUUAAAAUGUUUAGUUAAGCACAACACAUAGCUUAUUUAACAUUCCUAAGUAAAUGACACUAAUGCUUCAAAGUUUAUAUCCUACUAGUGGUAUUCUCCAAAUGGUGUCAUUUUGACUUAUAUGUGCCAAUGCUCGGAUUAUAGAUAAUUUGGCCCUCUUGAUAUCAAAAUCAAAGUGCAAGUCUCCUACAAGUAUUCAAAACUUGUAUGCACACUUUCAGGGGGAUGUUAAUCUAUAAUCUAAGUCUUUGAGACUAAUACUUGUUUUCAAGUCUAUUAUGUGUAGUAGUCUCAUUGAAGGAAAAUAGAGUCCUCGGAGAAAGACAAUAAGCUCUCCACUGCAAAUCUACAAGAAUUUUCAAUUGACUCCACAAGUGGUUUCAUUCCACAAUUGGUAUCAUUUACAUGUCUUCUCUAGAAUUUGAUUAUACUAUAUUACAAAUCUUAUGCUUCCCGUAUUGCUAUAAAUGCAUAUGUUGUCAAAAUAUAUCUUUUACCUAUGCAUAGGGGGAGUUAGUCUAAUCAAUCAUGUCUUGUCCCUAUCUUUUCUCAUGUGCUUUUCCUAAGUAGAGGAUCUCCGACAGGGGGAGUAUAUCUUCGUCUAUGACAAAGGGGGAGAAUAUUCUUUCAAAAGGGGAGAACACUCGUUUAGGGGAGUAAGAUUUUAGAGCUACAAGUAGUAAAUCCUUUAGAGGGCAAGUCUUUUUGCUUCAUGUAUGCUUUUAAUGUCUUCCUUUUCGGUGUUUGAUUCUAAAGGGGGAGAACCAAAGCAACUCAAAAUAUAUCAAACACCACACAAUUUCAAAAUUUAAAAUCUUGAUCUUACAAGUGCUUUUGGUUCUUCAAGUAUCUUUGGUCUAAAAUAGGAAGCAUGUGGAUUAUGGAGUUAGUGGGAGGAUUAAGUCCAGAAUCUCACCUUGUGGGACAUUCAUGCAUCCUAGCAAGUAGAUUGUAUAUUUUCAUCAAAAUGUUUGUUAUAUUUGCGUGCUUUGGUUGUGUUGUCAUCAAUCACCAAAAGGGGAAGAUUGUAAGGAAAAUGGACCCGACCCAUUUGUCUAAAGGAUUUUGGUGUUUGAUGAUCAACAUAAUCUUGUGGACUAAUGUGUUUUCUAGUUUUUGUAUUUGUAGUUCACAGGAUGCGAAGAGGAUUGGACUGAGACUCUGAGGAUACAACACCUCAAAAGAAGACCUAAAAGUUCCAUAGAAGUCCAAGACUCAAGAUUGAAAAAACCCAAGGAAACAACAAAGAAAUCCAAGAAGUGGACAGUCAGCCAACACUCUUGUGGCACACCGGACAGUGAACAAUACAUGUCUGGUGUGCACCGGACUGUCCAAUGUGUGAUCGGACAGUCUGCGCAGAGAGCCCGCAACCAGGUGCUCUCGGGGCUGUAGCACCGGUCUGUCCGGUGUGCACCAGACAACCUGGGUAACAGUUGGAUCCAAUGGUCGACUGCUACAGACCUUAAUGAUCAGCUGACGUGGCUAGGGCACCGGACAUGUCUGGUGCGCCCGACGACAGAGCACUCAGCUUUCUGUCCAACGUCUAGAAUUGUGGGGGAAAUUAUAAAUACCCCACCAACCGACCAUUUGAAGGUGUGGGAGCUCAAGGAACAUACCACGACAUAUUGUAGACAAUUUCAAGUGCUCAUACACCCAAGUGCUUAAUAGAAUCACCAGGUGAUUAGCGUAGGUGCUUUACAAAGUGCAUAGGUUAGUUAGACCGCUUAUGCGCUUGCUCUAGGUGAAUCCUAGUUAGUUGAGUGAGUUUAGAAAAACCACACAACCCCUCGGCUCUUGCGCGAGUCAUUGUAAUUGUACCGAGUGGGGCGAGAGUCUUGCGAGACCGUGACAACCGAGUUUGUGUCACGACCGCCACCGUGUACCAAAGGGAACGAGGCCCGCGGUGUUUCGGCCGGAAGCUCGAUAGUGGAGACGGCAGGGAGCAUCCGAGAGGAGCCGGAAGCGAAGCACCACUUACGCAUGGAGAAGGCUCGCGACUCUCUACGGAGUUACUCAACCGAGGUGCUUGACUCUCACGUGGGCUACCCUUUGCAUAGGGUCACCAACGAGGAUUAGUCGGGACCUUGCAUGGUUCCGGAUACGUCGGUUAAAAUACCGGCAGCGUCCACGAGAGUUUGCAUCUCUACCAUUGCUCUUUACCUUCUGCAUUUACAUUAAGUACUUAAGUUUCAAUCUAUUUUCUCUAGUUAUAAUAUUUAUGAUUGAAACUUAGGUUUCGUGGUAGAGAUAGUAACACAUAUACUAAACCUAGUUUACACAUUCUAAAUUGUUUAUUUGCAUCGGUUUUGUUCUAGAGAUUUAAUUGUGGCUUAGUUUAGAGAAAGUUUUUAGAAGUCCUAAUUCACCCCUCUCUUAGGCAUCACCGUUUCCUACAUGCAUGAUGAAAGGCUGAUAAAAUAGACAUAUUUUUUCAAAUGCACAUAUUUUUAUGUCUGCAAUAGUUUUUGAGUUUACAAAUUUUUAGGCCACACGUGCCUACUACACUUGUUGGAUCCUAUUGAUGGCAAUGGUAAGAAAAGUGUCGGGGACCAUAAUUAGUGGUACCCUCAAGACUCCUAAUUCUCAGCUGGUAACCCCCAUCAGCACAAAGCUGCAAAGGCCUGAUGGGUGCGACUAAGUCAAGGAUCGGUCCAUUCGAGGGACCCGAUCACGCCUCGCCCGAGCCCAGCCUCGGGCAAGGGCAGCCGACCCCGGAGGAUCUACGUCUCGCCCGAGGCCCCCUCCAGCAACGGACACACCUUCGGCUCGCCUGAGGCCCAGUCUUCGCGAAGGAGAAACCUAGGCCAAAUCGCCACGCCAACCAACCAAAUCGCAUGAGCAUUUAAUGCAAAGGUGGCCUGACACCUUUAUCCUGACACGCGCCCUCCGGUCGACAGAGCCGAAGUGACCGCAGCCACUUCGCCGCUCCACUAACCGGUCUGACAAGAGGACAGCGCCGCCUGCGCCGCUCCGAUUGAUGUGCCACUCCACAGAGUGAGGCUGACAAGCAGCCAGGCCCGGCCUUAGGCGCCAUAGGAAACUCCGCUCCGCCCGACCCCAGGGCUCGGACUCGGGCUCAGCCCCGGAAGACGACGAACUCCGCUCCGCCCGACCCAGGGCUCGAACUCGGGCUCAGCCCCUGAAGACGACGAACUCCGCUCCGCCUGAACCCAGGGCUUGGACUCGGGCUCAGCCCCGGAAGACGAUGAACUCCUCUCCGCCCGACCCCAGGGCUCGGACUCGGGCUCAGCCCCAAAAGACGACGAACUCCGCUCCGCCCGACCUAGGGCUCGGACUCGGGCUCAGCCCCGGAAGACGACGAACUCCGCUUCGCCCGACCCCAGGGCUCGAACUCAGCUCUGGCCUCAGCCGACGGUCUCCGCCUCGCUCGACCCAGGGGCUCGGACUCGACCUCGGCCUCGGAAGACAGACUCGACCCCGACCUCGGAGGAGCCUCCACAUCGCCCAACCUAGGGCACGGACCGACCACGUCAACAGGAGGCGCCAUCAUUACCCUACCCCAAGCUGACUCAUGCUACGGGGAACAAGACUCCUAAUUCUUAGCUGGUAACCCCCAUCAACACAAAGCUGCAAAGGCCUGAUGGGUGCGACUAAGUCAAGGAUCGGUCCAUUCGAGGGACCCGAUCAUGCCUCGCCCGAGCCCAGCCUCGGGCAAGGGCAGCUGACCCCGGAGGAUCUACGUCUCGCCCGAGGCCCCCUCCAGCAACGGACACACCUUCGGCUCGCCUGAGGCCCAGUCUUCGCCAAGAAUCAACCUAGGCCAAAUCGCCACGCCAACCAACCAAAUCGCAGGAGCAUUUAAUGCAAAGGUGGCCUGACACCUUUAUCCUGACACGCGCCCUCCGGUCGACAGAGCCAAAGUGACCGCAGUCACUUCGCCGCUCCACUGAGCGGUCUGACAAGAGGACAGCGCCGCCUGCGCCGCUCCGAUUGAUGUGCCACUCCACAGAGUGAGGCUGACAAGCAGCCAGGCCCGGCCUCAGGCGCCAUAGGAAACUCCGCUCCGCCCGACCCUAGGGCUCGUACUCGGGCUCAGCCCCGGAAGACGACGAACUCCGCUCCGCCCGACCUAGGGCUCGGACUCGGGCUCAGCCCCUGAAGACGACGAACUCUGCUCCGCCUGACCCCAGGGCUCGGACUCGGGCUCAGCCCCGGAAGACGACGAACUCCGCUCCGCCCGACCCCAGGGCUCGGACUCGGGCUCAGCCCCGGAAGACGACGAACUCCGCUCCGCCCGACCCAGGGCUCGGACUCGGGCUCAGCCCCGGAAGACGACGAACUCCGCUUCGCCCGACCCCAUGGCUCGGACUCAGCUCUGGCCUCAGCCGACGGUCUCCGCCUCGCUCGACCCAGGGGCUCGGACUCGACCUCGGCCUCGGAAGACAGACUCGACCCCGACCUCGGAGGAGCCUCCACAUCGCCAACCUAGGGCACGGACCGACCACGUCAACAGGAGGCGCCAUCAUUACCCUACCCCAAGCUGACUCAUGCUACGGGGAACAAGACUGGCGUCCCAUCUGGCUCGCUCCGCCAGACAAGUAAUGAUGGCGCCCCGCACGCUCUAUGACGACGGCGGCUCUCAGUCCCCUUACGGAAGCAAGAGGACAUCAGCAAAGACUCGAUAGCCCCGACAGCUGUCCUUCCGCCAGGCUCCAGCGCUCCUCCGACGGCCACGACACCACACGAACUGGGUGCCAAAACCUCUCCGGCUGCCUCGAUGGCAUGUACUUAGGGCGCUAGCUCUCCUCCGCUAGACACGUUAGCACACUACUACACCCCCCAUUGUACACCUGGAUCCUCUCCUUACGCCUAUAAAAGGAAGGACCAGGGCCCUCUUACAGAGGGUUGGCCGCGCGGGGAAAGGACGGGACAGGCGCUCGCGUGAGGCCGCUCGCUCCCUCCCGCGUGGACGCUUGUAACCCCCUACUGCAAGCGCACCCGACCUGGGCGUGGGACAAGCACGAAGGCCGCGGGAUUUCCACCUCUCACGCCCGUCUCCCUCCGGCUGCCUUCCCCCCUUCGCUCUCCGUCUCGUGCCGACCCAUCUAGGCUGGGGCACGCGACGACAAUUCACUCGUCGGGCCAGGACCCCCCGGUCUCGAAACGCCGAUAGUUGGCGCGCCAGGUAGGGGCCUGCUGCGUGUUGACGAACAGCUUCCCGUCAAGCUCCAGAUGGGCAGUCUCCAGCAACCUUUCCAGCCCGGGACGGUGCUCCGUUUCGGGAGUCUUGAGUUCAUGUCCCUCGACGGCAGCUACGACAUGAUACUCCUUCCCUCGCCGUGCGACAGCGACAAUGGCAGCCGACAGCCCGCCCGCCGGCGGCGGAAUCGACGACGUCUUCCCCGCGUGGUGGAAGAACAACAUUCGAGCUCACCCCGUCCCCUCCCCCGCCGACGGAGGAGGAGGCGGGGCAACCAAGGCCAAGCAGGAGGCGGCACCUCGUCGGCUGUCGAGCGAGUCGACGGCGUCGGUGCCCCAACGGGGGGCACGUCGAGCAUCGACCUCGCGUCUGAGACGAAGACGAGCGCCGUAUCCCCGCAACGCGCCAAUCCCAAGCAAACGGACGACGCCAGCACGCUCGUGAAGGACUUGCUGGGCGUCACCCUCGUACCUGAGACGAUGGUGCAGUCAGUCCCUGACGCGACUUCGUCACCGCCCGUCGACCAAGAGGUACCAACCGAUUCCCAUUUCACACCUUUUGGAUUCAGCCUCGACCCGCCGAGCGACUUCGCUUUGGUGGGCGCUCUCGUAGAGGCGAGUCCAAACCCUCUGGGGUAUCGUAUGCGGUCGCCCUGAGACCGGAUGACGGACGUCUUGACCUACGGGCCCUCGGGGUCCGAGGAAGAUGAUGAGCCCGACUUCUGUUGGGAUUUCUCCGGACUUGGUAACCCCAGUGCCAUGCGGGACUUCAUGACCGCAUGCGACUACUGCCUUUCCGACUGUUCUGAUGGUAGCCACAGCCUCGGCGACGAGGACUGCGGCCCAAGUCGUGAAUGUUUCCACGUCGAUCUAGGGGGUCCCUCCGAAGGCAACCAUCUUGGUAUGCCGGAGAACGGUGAUCUCCCUAGGCCUGUGCCUCGCGUUGACAUCCUACGGGAGCUAGCUGUGGUCCCCGUUCCGACGGGGGGUCAUGACCCACAGCUCGAGCAAAUCCGCGGGGUGCAGGCCAGGCUCGACGAGGGAGCAGGAACACUUGAGCCGAUCCGCCGGGACGUCGGGCAGGAAUGGGCGGGCCAACCUCCGGCCGAGGAAGUGCGUCAUCUACCCCAGGGUUUCCAGCACCGCAUCGCCGACGAUGUCAGGGCAAGGCCGCCACCCGCUUCCAGUGGAGUCGGCCAGAACCUGGCUGCACCGGCAAUGCUCCUCCGCGUGAUGCCGGAGCCAUCAACCACCGAGGGGCGACGAAUUCAAGGAGAGCUCAAGAAUCUCCUGGAGGGCGCCGCGGUCCGACGGGCCGAAAGCUCCGCCUCCUGAAGGCAGGGGUACCCCUCGGAACAUCGCGCCGCGACUUCCCGAUUCAUACGGGAAGCCUCGGUCCACACCGGGCGCACGCGCAACACAGCGCCUGCGGCCCCGGGUCGCCUCGGCAACGAGCACCAUCACCGCAACCGUCGGGCCCACCUCGACGAGAGGGUGCGCCGAGGCUACCACCCCAGGCAUGGGGGACGCUACGACAGUGGGGAGGAUCGGAGUCCCUCGCCCGAACCACCCGGUCUGCAGGCUUUCAGCCGCGCCAUACGACGGGCGCCGUUCCCGACCCGGUUCCAAACCCCGACUACUAUCACAAAGUACUCGGGGGAGACGAGACCGGAACUAUGGCUCGCGGACUACCGGCUGGCCUGCCAACUGGGUGGAACGGACGAUGACAACCUCAUCAUCCGCAACCUCCCCCUGUUCCUCUCCGACACCGCUCGCGCCUGGUUGGAGCACCUGCCUCCGGGGCAAAUCUCCAACUGGGACGACCUGGUCCAAGCCUUUGUCGGCAAUUUCCAGGGCACGUACGUGCGCCCUGGAAACUCCUGGGAUCUCCGAAGCUGCCGACAGCAGCCGGGAGAGUCUCUCCGGGACUACAUCCGGCGAUUCUCGAAGCAGCGCACCGAGCUGCCCAACAUCACCGAUUCAAAUGUCAUCGGCGCGUUCCUUGUCGGCACCACCUGCCGCGACCUGGUGAGCAAGCUGGGUCGCAAGACCCCCACCAGGGCGAGCGAGCUGAUGGACAUCGCCACCAAGUUCGCCUCUGGCCAGGAGGCGGUUGAGGCUAUCUUCCGGAAGGACAAGCAGCCCCAGGGCCGCCCACCGGAAUAUGCCCCCGAGGCAUCAACUCAGCGUGGCGCCAAGAAGAAAGGCAAGAAGAAGUCGCAAGCGAAACGCGACGCCGCCGACGCGGACCUUGUCGCCGCCGCCGAGUACAAGAACCCUCGGAAACCCCCCGGAGGUGCCAACCUCUUCGACAAGAUGCUCAAGGAGUCGUGCCCCUAUCAUCAGGGGCCCAUCAAGCACACCCUUGAGGAGUGUUCCAUGCUUCGGCGCCACUUCCAUAGGGUCGGGCCACCCGCGGAGGGUGGCAGGGCUCGCGACGACGACAAGAAGGAAGAUCACCAGGCAGGAGAGUUCCCCGAGGUCCGCGACUGCUUCAUGAUCUACGGUGGGCAAGCGGCGAACACCUCGGCUCGGCACCGCAAGCAAGAGCGUCGGGAGGUCUGCUCGGUAAAGGUGGCGGUGCCAGUCUACCUAGACUGGUCCGACAAGCCCAUCACCUUCGACCAAGCCGACCAUCCCGACCGUAUGCCGAGCUCGGGGAAAUAUCCGCUCGUUGUCGACCCCGUCAUCGGCGACGUCAGGCUCACCAAGGUCCUCAUGGAUGGAGGCAGCAGCCUCAACAUCAUUUACGCCGAGACCCUCGGGCUCCUGCGUGUGGAUCUGUCCUCGGUCCGGGCAGGCGCUGCGCCUUUCCACGGGAUCAUCCCCGGGAAGCGCGUCCAGCCCCUCGGACAACUCGAUCUUCCCGUCUGCUUUGGGACGCCCUCCAACUUCCGAAGGGAGACCCUCACGUUCGAGGUGGUCGGGUUCCGAGGAACCUACCACGCAGUACUGGGGAGGCCAUGCUAAGCGAAGUUCAUGGCCGUCCCCAACUACACCUACCUCAAGCUCAAGAUGUCGGGCCCCAACGGGGUCAUCACCGUCGGCCCCACGUACCGACACGCGUUCGAAUGUGACGUGGAGUGCGUGGAGUACGCCGAGGCCCUCGCCGAAUCCGAGGCCCUCAUCGCCGACCUAGAGAGCCUCUCUAAGGAGGUGCCAGACGUGAAGCGCCACGCCGGCAACUUCGAGCCAGCGGAGAUGGUUAAGUCCGUCCCCCUCGACCCCAGCAGCGAUGCCUCCAAGCAGAUCUGGAUCGGCUCCGAGCUCGAUCCCAAAUAGGAAGCAGUGCUCGUCGACUUUCUCCGCGCGAACGCCGACGUUUUCGCGUGGAGUCCCUCGGACAUGCCCGGCAUACCGAGGGAUGUCGCCGAGCACUCGCUGGAUAUCUGAGCUAGAGCCCGACCCGUGAAGCAGCCUCUGCGCCGAUUCGACGAAGAAAAGCGCAGAGCCAUAGGCGAGGAGAUCCACAAGCUAAUGGCGGCAGGGUUCAUCAAAGAGGUAGUCCAUCCCGAAUGGCUUGCCAACCUUGUGCUUGUGAGAAAGAAAGGAGGGAAAUGGCGGAUGUGUGUAGACUACACUGGUCUAAACAAAGCAUGUCCGAAGGUUCCCUACCCUCUGCCUCGCAUCGACCAAAUCGUGGAUUCCACUGCUGGGUGCGAAACCCUGUCUUUCCUUGAUGCCUACUCAGGGUACCACCAAAUCAGGAUGAAAGAGUCCGACCAGCUCGCGACUUCUUUCAUCACACCCUUCGGCAUGUACUGUUAUGUCACCAUGCCGUUCGGCUUGAGGAAUGCGGGUGCGACGUACCAACGGUGCAUGAACCAUGUGUUCGGCGAACACAUUGGCCGGACGGUCGAGGCCUACGUCGAUGAUAUCGUAGUCAAGACGAGGAAAGCCUCCGACCUCCUUUCCGACCUUGAAGUGACAUUCCGAUGUCUCAAGGCGAAAGGCGUGAAGCUCAAUCCCAAGAAGUGUGUCUUCGGGGUUCCCCGAGGCAUGCUCUUGGGGUUCAUCGUCUCCGAGCGGGGCAUCGAAGCCAACCCGGAGAAGAUCGCGGCCAUCACCAGCAUGGGGCCCAUCAAGGACUUGAAAGGCGUACAGAGAGUCAUGGGAUGCCUUGUGGCUCUGAGCCGCUUCAUCUCGCGCCUCGGCGAAAGAGGCCUGCCUCUGUACCGCCUCUUAAGGAAGGCCGAGUGCUUCACUUGGACCCCUGAGGCCGAGGAAGCCCUCGGGAACCUAAAGGCGCUCCUUACAAACGCGCCCGUCUUGGUGCCCCCCGCUGCCGGAGAAGCCCUCUUGAUCUACGUCGCCGCGACCACUCAGGUGGUUAGCGCCGCGAUUGUGGUUGAGAGACGAGAAGAGGGGUAUGCAUUGCCCGUCCAGAGGCCAGUCUACUUCAUCAGCGAGGUACUGUCCGAGACCAAGAUCCGCUACCCACAAAUUCAUAAGCUGCUAUACGCGGUGAUCCUGACGCGGCGGAAGUUGCGGCACUACUUCGAGUCUCAUCCGGUAACUGUGGUGUCAUCCUUCCCCCUGGGGGAGAUCAUCUGGUACCGAGAGGCCUCGGGUAGAAUUGCAAAGUGGGCGGUGGAAAUCAUGGGCGAAGCGAUCUCGUUCGCCCCUCGGAAGGCCAUCAAGUCCCAGGUCUUGGCGGACUUCGUGGCUGAAUGGGUUGACACCCAGCUCCCAACAGCUCCGAUCCAACCGGAACUCUGGACCAUGUUCUUCGAUGGGUCACUGAUGAAGACAGGAGCAGGCGCAGGCCUGCUCUUCAUCUCGCCCCUCGGAAAGCACCUACGCUACGUGCUACGCCUCCAUUUCCCGGCGUCCAACAAUGUGGCUGAGUACGAGGCUCUGGUCAACGGGUUGCGCAUCGCCAUCGAGCUAGGGGUCCGACGCCUCGACGCUCGCGGCGACUCGCAGCUCGUCAUCGACCAAGUCAUGAAGAACUCCCACUGCCGCGACCCGAAGAUGGAAGCCUACUGCGAUGAGGUUCGGCGCCUGGAAGACAAGUUCUACGGGCUCAAGCACAACCACAUCGCCCGACGCUACAACGAGACUUCGGACAAGCUGGCUAAAAUAGCCUCGGGGCGAACAAUGGUUCCCCCGGACGUCUUCUCCCGAGACCUGCAUCAACCCUCCGUCAAGACCGACGACACGCCCGAGCCCGAGAAGGCCUCGGCCGAGCCUGAGGCACCCUCGGCUCAGUCCGAGGUACCCUCGGCUCGGCCCGAGGCACCCUCGGCCCAACCUGAGGUACCCUCGGCUCAGUCCGAGGUACCCUCGGCUCGGUCCGAGACACCCUCAGUUCGGCCCGAGGUACCCUCGGCCCUCGAGGGCGAGGCACUACGCAUCGAGGAGGAGCGAAGCGGGGUCACGCCUAAUCGAAACUGGCAGACCCUGUACCUGCAAUAUCUCCACCUAGGAGAGCAACCCCUCGACCGAGCCGAAGCUCGGCGGUUGGCGCGGCGCGCCAAGUCGUUUGUCUUGCUGGGGGACGGGAAGGAACUCUACCACCGCAGCCCCUCAAGCAUCCUCCAGCGAUGCAUUUCCAUCGCCGAAGGCCAGGAGCUCCUACAAGAGAUACACUCGGGAGCUUGCGGCCAUCACGCAGCACCUCGAGCCCUUGUUGGAAACGCCUUCCGACAAGGUUUCUACUGGCUGACAGCGGUGGCCGACACCACUAGAAUUGUCCGCACCUGCGAAGGGUGUCAGUUCUACGCAAGGCAGACCCACCUGCCCGCUUAGGCCCUGCAGACGAUACCCAUCACCUGGCCUUUUACUGUGUGGGGUCUGGACCUCGUUGGCCCCUUGCAGAAGGCACUCGGGGGCUACACGCACCUGUUGGUCGCCAUCGACAUAUUCUCCAAGUGGAUCGAGGUCCGACCCCUAAACAGCAUUAGGUCCGAACAGGCAGUGGCGUUCUUCACCAACAUCAUCCAUCGCUUUGGGGUCCCGAACUCCAUCAUCACCGACAACGGCACCCAGUUCACCGGCAGAAAGUUCCUGGACUUCUGCGAGGAUCACCACAUCCGGGUGGACUGGGCCGCCGUGGCUCACCCCAUGACGAAUGGACAAGUAGAGCGUGCCAACGGCAUGAUUCUACAAGGACUCAAGCCUCGGAUCUACAACGACCUCAACAAGUUCGGCAAGCGAUGGAUGAAGGAACUCCCCUCGGUGGUCUGGAGUCUGAGGACAACGCCGAGCUGAGCCACGGGCUUCACGCCGUUCUUUCUAGUCUAUGGGGUCGAGGCCAUCUUGCCCACAGACUUAGAAUACGGUUCCCCGAGGACGAGGGCCUACGCCGACCGAAGCAAUCAAGCUAGUCAAGAAGACUCAUUGGACCAGCUGGAAGAGGCUCGGGACAUGGCCUUACUACACUCGGCGCGGUACCAGCAGUCUCUGCGAUGCUACCACGCCCGAGGGGUUCGGUCCCGAGACCUCCAGGUGGGCGACCUGGUGCUUCGGCUGCGACAAGAUGCCCGAGGGCGGCACAAGCUCACGCCUCCCUGGGAAGGGCCGUUCGUCAUCGCCAAAGUUCUGAAGCCCGGAACGUACAAGCUGGCCAACAGUCAAGGCGAGGUCUACAGCAACGCUUGGAACAUCCAACAGCUACGUCGCUUCUACCCUUAAGAUGCUUUCAAGUUGUUCGUAUGCCUCGUUCCCACGCAAAGUUUAGUCAUCAAGGAAGGGUCAGCCUUGCCUCGGCAAAGCCCGACCCUCCCUCGGGGGCUAAAAGGGGGGAACCCCCCUGCGUCGAAAUUUUCAAUCAAAAGGCUUCCGCGUUCCCUCGGCUAUGUCGGUAGCAGAACCCCAAGAAGCGAAUGCAGGUGCAUGUAAGUGGCAAGGCUGACUGAGCCGAGGGACUCCUACACCUCUAGGUUACGGAUACCUCACUCGUCACCUACCACGAAAUAGGACUCCUACUUGGGCAAGGCAGCCUGCUACUGACGAACGGGGCCGAACAUGCAAAAUGAAAGGAAAAGGGGCACGACUUUAUGCUACGAUAAUAAAGUGUUUUGGGCCUCAACGGCCGCAAAAGACACACGUGCAUUCAAAGGAAACUACUCCGACAGAAUCAGGCGUCGCCCGGGGAAGGAGUCGCGCCUUCGGCUUCGUCCCCGCCUUCGACAGAAUCCACCCCGGCUUCGGACGACGGCGCAGGCGGGAGGAUCUCUGCCUCGAAGGUGGUCGCCAGCACUACGCUCGGGCCCGCGGCGGCCGCGUCGAGCCUCUGGACUUCAGCCAGGGCGGCUUCAUCUUCGUCAGGGAGGCAAUACCCCUCGCUGACCCGCUCCAGAUCCACGACGUAGUGGGAAGCGAGCACGGCGAAGGCCCGCCUGAUGCCGUGGUGUAGCGCCUCGCGGAGUCUACCGCGCACGUGGUCACCCAAUGCCUGCAGGCGACUUUGAGGGGAGCUUCCUGAGGGGAUGUCGCCGAAGCCGAAGACCCGGCAGAAGUCCGAGAUGGCCUCGGACAUGGCCGCGUGGUCGGCCUCCCUCUGCUCGGCCGCCUGGGCAAGCGCCCUGGUGGACUCAUCAAGGGCAGACUCGAGCUCUGCGAGCAGCCAGAGCGCAAAGCCUCAAACACAAAUGGAGGGAACAAGCUGAAACGAAAACCGAAAACAGCCAGGACAUACCUUCGGCUCGGGCACGCUGCUCCGAGGCUGCGGCCUGGGCUACGGCUAGGUCUGCUGCAAGGGCUCCGGCCCGGCUUUCGGCCUCAGCAGCCCGGCCCCGAGAUUGAUCUCACUCAUCGACGACCUGGUCGAACUCCGACUGCCGUCGCUGCACCUCUGCGCGUGCCGCUGCCGCCUCUGCUCUCAGAUCGGCACAGAGCAACCGAAGGUCCGCCACCUCGGCGCCCUGCUGGGAGAGGCGCGCAGUAGCCCCGACGAGCGAGGUCCUCAGGGAUCACAGCGAGCCCCAGAUAUCGACCUCGUGGCGGAUGAACGACGACUUGGCGGCACUCAGAUCCGUCAGAUCCUGAGGGAAGGAAGCAGGGCGUCACAAAAGACGCCUUGGUCACAAAAAAGGUAUGCCUGAAAUCAUUACCUGGAGGAUCUUAGGGACGUCCCUGCAAAAGACCUCCAAGGAUGACCGGAGCGACCCCACAGUUGCUUCGGCACAAUCGCGGAGCUCGUCCCAAGACUGCUCCUCCCGCUCAUCGUCAAGAACGAAGAAGGGAUCCGAAGCCUCACGGGUCCGGAACCGGAGCAACUGGCGGCGCCUCUCGGAGCUCCGCCGCGCAGGGACAAGGCUGCCGCUCGGCGGGACAGAUCGUGUUUCCACGCCCCCCUCCUCCGAGGCACCGAGCGCCGACGCCUCGGCCAUCUCAGCGUCGGCAGCGAUAGGUCGCUCCCCGACUGGGACGGCAGCGGCUUCAGCAGCAGCUGGCGCCAGCGCCGGCGGCAUGUCCGGUGGGCCCGAGGCCACGACCGCGCCAGCCGCCUCCCCUAGCGCGACGGCCACCUCGACAGAAGAGCCAGCCUCGGGAACUCGCUCCACGGCGACUGGUGCCGCCUGAGCCCCCCGCUGUGGAGCGCCUUGCGAGAAGGUCAGCUGAACGGCGAGGCCCGCGCGGCACCGGCUGCGGAAGCCGACGCCGUCUUAAGGGCUUUCCGGGGAGCCAGAUCGGUCAGGCCAUGGCUUCGCUUGCUGAGGAAGAAAGGAAAGUCGCGGUCGGGACAUACGAAUGAGGAGCCAGGACGAAGAUGUUCCAAGGUACUUACCCGCUCCGGGCCAUGAUCAGCCGCGCAUGAGGAGAGGUCUCUCGGAUCUCGACCCCCGAAGGUACCGCCGAGGUCCGCCUCGUCGCCAGCUUCGGUACCGUCCUCGCCUUGGGCACCUUGGACGCCCGGGAGACGGACUGCCCAGGUGCUGCCAUGGCGACCUGAGGGUCACUCUCCUGUGCUGCCGGCGUGGGCGAUGGCUCUCGGGGAACAGACGCCUCGGCCUGACUCCCCGGGGUCACCUCAAUUUCCCCGGCCGAGGGGUCAAGAACCCCCUCGGUUUUCCCCUGCUCUUCGGGCCGGGACCUCGGCGUCCCGACUCCGGGAACUGACGGCGCCAGCCCGCUCGGGGGCUGGCUUGACGACUCCUGGCCUAGCCUCAAACCCGGGCUGAGGCCGAGGCGGGCAGCCAUGUCGUCAUCCUCGUCAUCCUCGUCGUCGUCAGGCGUUUCCGGCGACGGCUCCCUCGGGAGUCCAUCCCUCUCCUGUCGACGACAGAGCUUUUCCAAGGCGUCUCGGGCCCGUGUCCGCUCGCGGGCCCGAGCCUUCUCCGCGUCCUUCUUCUUCUUCUCCUCCGCGGCAACCCGCCGCGCUGCUCGGUCCACCGCGUCCUCCGGGACCCGUGGCCGGGAAGGCUUGUGCCACCCUACCUCCUGGGGACAGAUGAAAAGUCUCGACCGUAAGGACCAAGGGCAAUCCGACGCAAGGAGAAAGAAGGAGCGGACACUCACCAGGGUCACACACCCGUGGUCGGGGCGCAUCAAGGGCUGAGAGAAGGCGCUGGCGUCCGGUUUUCCCAACGCGACGGCCACCCGCCCGUGGAGAACGUCGAUGGGAAGGGGAUCCGAGGACAUCUGCGAGCCCUCCAAGUCAGCCUCCGGCUUCAUCUCCCAAAGCGGCAACCGCCGCUCCGCCAAGGGAAGCACCCUCCGGCGGUGAAUGGCGGCAAUCACUCCCGCGGCGGUGAGCCCUCCUUUCCGCAACGCCUCCAGGGCCUUGAGGAGGGGCUCGAGGUUCUUCUGUCUGUCGUGCGGGGUCCCGUAGCGCCAAGCAUCGGCGGCGACGGUGACCACUCGCUGAGAAAACGGCGGGAGCAUCUCGCCGUCAUUCCGGAGGUAGAACCACCGGCGCUGCCACCCUUUAUUCGAGGACGCAAGGAUGGCGGGAAUAUACUGCGACGCCCGCGACUGCCUCAGCUGGAGGAUGCAGCCGCCGGCCCGCACUGCCGCGCGGACCCUUCUCUCCCCCGUCGGCGAAGCAAAAAGCUCCGCGGAAAAGAGAUGAGUCCACAAGUCCCAGUGGGGAGCGAUCCCCAAGUAUCCUUCGCACACCGCUACGAAGAUGGCGGCUUGCGAGAUGGAGUUGGGGCUGAGGUUGUGCAACUCCACCACAUAGUUGUGCAGGAUCGCCCGCAUGAAGCGGCUUGCCGGCACACCGAAUCCCCGCUCGUGGAAGGAGACGAAGCUCACGACGUACCCCGGCGGCGGGGACGGAGCGGCUCCGCUCGCGGGGGGAAUCCACUCCGGCUGCCUCUCAUCAGAGAGAGGGCGAAGUAAACCCUCAGCAACAAGAUCCUCCAGGUCAUCCGCCGUGACUGUGGAGAAAGGCCAUGGGUCGCGCGGCGAGACGAUGGUCACCCGGUCGGCCAUCACCGAGCAAAAGGGGUGGCGGCGGAAAGGACUGGGUGGGCGGUUUCCUUUUCUCUGGCUAAACCUCUCAGGUUGCGAAAACAUAAGAAAGAGGCGAGAAGUGGAGCAAAGAACCGUCGCCAGACCCUCCCCCGAGUAUAUAAAGACCAAGGCGAGACCCGUUCAACGUUUCGCCCGGACCCGCCGCGGGAUUCAAAAACUCAAAGCGAAACGACCGUUCCUCGAACGGCUCGCGCACGCGCAACGGCCGCCCCGCGAACCGCUCGCCCCAUCGCAUUAAUUCUGCGGCGGGACAGGCGGUGCCUCUGGCAGGAGAAGCAAGCGACGCUUCGCCUUCGCCAUAAUGACCGCGUCAAAAAAGGUACGCCACGUCAUUCGAUUUCGUAUCCUUUUCCUUUUCCUCUUUCUCUCUCUUACAACAGGGACCGGGAAAGGGGGAUACCCCAAAAAGGAUCCUUCUCCGUGAAGGAAACAGGCUUCGAGCCUCCCUACUGAUCAGAGGUUCAAAGGCUAGCCCCUCGGAGGGGUUUAACAGCCGCCUCAGAGCGCGUGGGCUCCACACCCACUACUGGUCAGAGGUUCGAAGGCCGGCCCCUCGGAAGGGUUCAACGGCCGCCUCAGGCCACUCGGGCUCCGCGCCCACUACUGAUCAGGGGUUCAUAGGCUAGCCCUCGAAGGGUUCACAACCGCCUCAGACACAGAGUGAGGGAUGACCUUGGGUACGUUCGAUACAUAACCAAGGCUCGGGCUACGCUCCCGAGGUACCCUAGGACAUUUCCGAGACCAGCGGGAACGAUCUUGUAACGGAAUCCCAUCAGAGGGAGGCAUCGAGCCCUUGGACCCCGUCGACAGGGGACCGGGUCCGGCAGAUCACCCGCAAGUACUUUUGAGCGCGCCUCUGGGCCUCUAGCCGACCCCUAACAAAUGGGGCACGGGCGUCCACUCGGAUUACCCGCCAGCAGCUCACCGGAGACACCAUGUUCGGCGCCCUCCGAGGGCAACAUGGCGCUUUCCCCCCCUCCUCCUUGCAGAAAGGCGACACAGGGGCGUAUGUAAAAAAGUCGAGUCUGUCCUUGACCGUCCUCUCGCCCUGUGCAGAGGCUUGGGGGCUGCUCUCGCAAACCCGGCUCUGGCCAAACCGUUGACAGCGUCAACAUACCAGCCCGAGAACUUGGGACCCGACCGUGCACCCAGGCUACGGCCAGCUCGCAUGAGGGAACGACCAGACCAGCCGAAGCAUUGCGCGAGGCAUUAAGACCUUGGAGGAGUCAAACCACUCCUCCGAGGCCUCGGGGGCUACACCCGGCGGGUGCGCUCGCGCGCACCCACCGGAACAAAACGCAACCGAGAAAGGCUGGUCCCCUUGCAAAAAAGUGCGACAAAAGCCUCCAAGCGAGUAUUAACACUCCCUUCGAGGCUCGGGGGCUACUGUCGAGGACCAUAAUUAGGGUACCCUCAAGACUCCUAAUUCUCAGCUGGUAACCCCCAUCAACACAAAGCUGCAAAGGCCUGAUGGGUGCGACUAAGUCAAGGAUCGGUCCAUUCGAGGGACCCGAUCACGCCUCGCCCGAGCCCAGCCUCGGGCAAGGGCAGCUGACCCUGGAGGAUCUACGUCUCGCCCGAGGCCCCCUCCAGCAACGGACACACCUUCGGCUCGCCUGAGGCCCAGUCUUCGCCAAGAAGCAACCUAGGCCAAAUCGCCACGCCAACCGACCAAAUCGCAGGAGCAUUUAAUGCAAAGGUAGCCUGACACCUUUAUCCUGACACGCGCCCUCCGGUCGACAGAGCCGAAGUGAUCGCAGUCACUUCGCCGCUCCACUGAGCGGUCUGACAAGAGGACAGCGCCGCCUGCGCCGCUCCGAUUGAUGUGCCACUCCACAAAGUGAGGCUGACAAGCAGCCAGGCCCGGCCUCAGGCGCCAUAGGAAACUCCGCUCCGCCCGACCCCAGGGCUCGGACUCGGGCUCAGCCCUGGAAGACGACGAACUCCGCUCCGCCCGACCCAAGGCUCGGACUCGGGCUCAGCCCUUGAAGACGACGAACUCCGCUCCGCCCGACCCCAGGGCUCGGACUCGGGCUCAGCCCCGGAAGACGACGAACUCCGCUCCGCCCGACCCCAGGGCUCGGACUCGGGCUCAGCCCCAGAAGACGACGAACUCCGCUCCGCCCGACCCAGGGCUCGGACUCGGGCUCAGCCCCGGAAGACGACGAACUCCGCUUCGCCCGACCCCAGGGCUCGGACUCAGCUCUGGCCUCAGUCGACGGUCUCUGCCUCGCUCGACCCAGGGGCUCGGACUCGACCUCGGCCUCGGAAGACAGACUCGACCCCGACCUCGGAGGAGCCUCCACAUCGCCCAACCUAGGGCACGGACCGAGCACGUCAACAGGAGGCGCCAUCAUUACCCUACCCCAAGCUGACUCAAGCUACGGGGAACAAGACCGGCGUCCCAUCUGGCUCGCUCCGCCAGACAAGUAAUGAUGGCGCCCCGCACGCUCUAUGACGACGGCGGCUCUCAGCCCCCUUACGGAAGCAAGAGGACGUCAGCAAAGACUCGACAGCCCCGACAGCUGUCCUUCCGCCAGGCUCCAGCGCUCCUCCGACGGCCACGACACCACACGAACUAGGUGCCAAAACCUCUCCGACUGCCACGAUGGCAUGUACUUAGGGCGCUAGCUCUCCUCCGCUAGACACGUUAGCACACUGCUACACCCCCCAUUGUACACCUGGAUCCUCUCCUUGCGCCUAUAAAAGGAAGGACCAGGGCCCUCUUACAGAGGGUUGGCCGCGCGGGGAAAGGACAAGACAGGCGCUCGCGUGAGGCCGCUCGCUCCCUCCCGCGUGGACGCUUGUAACCCCCUACUGCAAGCGCACCCGACCUGGGCGCGGGACUAGCACGAAGGCCGCGGGAUUUCCACCUCUCACGCCCGUCUCCCUCCGGCUGCCUUCCCCCCUUCGCGCUCCGUCUCGCGCCGACCCAUCUGGGCUGGGGCGCGGCGACAAUUCACUCGUCGGCCCAGUGACCCCCCGGUCUCAAAACACCGACAAAAAGAUUGACCUUGUGAGGCUAAAUAGCGACAAUCUACGACUCUACCAUAAAAACUCCUCGUCGUAUCUCUAGGCAGCUGAACAAUUAGGGGUUGAUAAGCAACCAACCAAAAGAUCACCUCUUCAAUAACAUCUACAACUUCUUGCACAUGACCUGGCUAAAUGGAAAAGAUGAUGCUAUGUUGCUUAAAACAAUUAAGGAGAGCUUCUGCAAUAAGUCCGAUGAUACAAACAAUAAAAUCGUUUGAGAUUAAAGCCAAACAAACAACCUGAAAUGUUAAAACCAGCCAAAAAAAAUCAUGAGUGCGAAAAUCCUCGUGGAUUUUGAUAGGAAACGGGUGAUACCAUCGUGUAUAGAAUCCACUCUGUCCCUACCUACAUCUAGUGCUGGCGUCCACAACGCAUAGGGCAGACCGGCAGAGGCACGCCCCUUGCUAGUCGGGAGGGACCACCACAAAACCUCCCGCCGCCCCACGGAACACGGGAAGAGAGAGAGAGAGAGGAGCAAAGUCAGCAAACGGUGCAGUGUCGAACGCAAGGGCGGCGAGUAGUAACAACAGCACGAGCAGCGGCGAGCGGGCGAGAGCGCCACCAGGCACCAGCAGACCCCUCUUGUCUCUCUCACCACGCUUCCUCUCCCUCGUUGCUUUACUACGCCUUCUCUCCUUUGUCUCUUCCCUCCUUUUUCACCCGGCGACGUCGAGCGAGAACGGCCGGGCCCCAAAAGAGGCCGCAUUCUUGGUGCUUUCUGAACCUUCUUUACUUUGUCCUCAAAUGGCCUCCUCGCUCUCUUCACAUCUCCCUUCACCAUAGGCACAGGCACCUCUCCCCCCCUGCAAGCUCCUCCCUUUCUCGCCUCCUGAUUCUUGCUCUGUCAGCCCAGAGGCAGAGCAAGCAAGCAUCGGCGGCCAUGGCGGCGCCAGGUCGAGCGGCGCUCCUGGCCGCCGCGCUCCUGUUCGGCACUUUCUUCCCAUCCGCGUCCUCUGCGUCCUCGUACCCCGCAAGUGAGCUCCUUUCGCGGCCCCACCGUCUCGUUCGCUCUGCUUCAUCCGCUGAUUAAGUUUUGUUCCGCGUCGGGUGGCAGGGAUUGCGGGCAGGCUCCUGUCCACCACGUCGUCGGCAGUGGCCAAGCAGCUGUGGUCGCUCAAAUCGGCCGCCACCAAGACGGGUAAUCGGCGACCCGUGGCGUCGUCAUUUCCCUCUCCGAUUCUCGGCUCAUUCAUUCGCUGUUUUCUCACCGGGUGUGCCUGCUCCUCCGGUGUCUGGCGGUGUCGGCGGCAGCGACGACGGCCGUGACGGGGCGGUCCAUGGUGAGGUACGAGGGCGGGUACGCGGUGGACACGGUGUUCGACGGCAGCAAGCUGGGGAUCGAGCCGCACGCCGUCGAGAUCACCCCCGCCGGCAACCUCCUCGUGCUCGACUCCAUCAACAGCAACAUCUACAGGGUACAGCUGCCGUUGUCACCAUGUGAGCACGCUCUGCCUCCGACCACUCCCUGCCCUUUUCAGGAUUUUUCUGUCUUCAUGGGAUUCUGCUAAGUGUGCUGCUUCACUCGAUGAUGUGUGAGUAGUGACUAACGAUUUCUGGGUGGUGGUUGGUAGGGACUGAUGUUGCAUGCAAACUUCAUCAAUAACUGUUCCUCGAUUGUGAAAUGCCUGUUAUUUUCUUCAUUGCUAUAGUAUGGGCAAUAUGAAAUGAUAGUUCUUUGCGACUUUCACUCCCCAUGUUUGUGGAGUCAUCGUUCUCGUUCAGGUUUUCUUUUUCUUCACUUCCCUUUGUUGAUGAUGCACUGGUUUACUUCCUGUUUCACACAUCAGAAGUCGAGCAAAUAGACCAUGGUUUUUUUUUCACCAGGAAAAAUAUUUGCAUGAAUUGGUUGCCUGAAAUUGUUAGCGAUAUCUCCUGUCUCAUCUCGUGUCACUAAAAUAUAGGUGACACUUGGAAAUUUCACACUGCAGCCUCACUAUAAGCAACUGCUAUGUCAGUCACACUCAAGAUGACUUGUAUUUUAGGAUAGUGAAGUAGUCAUUCAUGUUUUUUUAGCAUGAGCAUGAGAUGCUUCCCAGAUUAUUAUAUCCAAGCAAUCCAAUUCUGAUGGAUCUUCUGAAAAUGGAUCGAACAAUGCAGAUAGCAGACCAAAGCUCCUUGCUGGUUCUCCAAAAGGUUUAUCUGGCCAUGUGGAUGGAAGACUGCGAGAAGCAAGGAUGAACCAUCCUAAAGGGUUCACUGUGGACGAUAGGGGCAACAUUUAUGUUGCAGACGGCAUGAACAUGGCAAUACGAAAAAUCAGUGAUACAGGUAAGCUAAAAUGGCCCAUUCUGAGGUAGUUCACAUGGCAUUGUCUGGUCCCCCAGUUCCCCUUCUGUUUGUUCUAUGUUUUUUCAUGGAGCUCCUCCUUUAGCACUUGUGCCCAAAAUUGCAUUCUGGACGAGGUAAGCUGUCAGUGUGCCUAAAAAUUGUUUCUCCAGAAAUUAUUUAGUAAUUGAUACCUAGAGGAGAUUGUAGUAAAAGGAAAUCUAACCAGCAUUCUACUCUUGGCUCUUGAUUAGCAAUAUAGUUUGGUUCAAAUUUCUACAAUCAUUUGACAUUCAUUGUUGGUUUUUUAUGUUCAAACUCUUUUAGCACAUUCAUGUUUCUCUUGUAACUAAUUUCUUUCACGACAAAAUAAUCAAUUUACCUUAUUCAGUAGAUAUUACCAAUCUUUAUGCUAAUUGAAUCUGCCUUUAGGUGAAAUUUGUUUGGAUCUUCUUCUGGAUAUAUCUAUUGUAAAUAUCCUUGUUUAUUAUAUUGUAGAUUAAGCUAUUGACAAAUUGUAUUAUAAUAUUCAGGGGUUACAACCAUUGCUGGGGGAAAAUCAAUUAGAGGAGGGCACAUAGAUGGGCCCAGUGAUGAUGCAAAAUUCUCAACUGAUUUUGAAAUCAAGUACAUCAGCAGUAGCUGCUCUCUCUUGGUCAUUGAUAGAGGAAACCAAGCAAUUCGAGAAAUUCCACUCAACGAUGAUGACUGUGCAUAUCAGUAUGAAGCUGGUUUUCCACUAGGUACAUUGCACUUAAGCUCGCCGCUAAUAUUACUUGACCAUAUUUUACUUCUGCUCUGUAAAGACAGUCAUAUGGUCACUGCAUUCAGUGCUCAUGAAAAGGGACCUGUAAAACAUGAAUAUUAAUUACUUUUGAUUUUGAAUGCUCACAGGGUUUGCAUUGCUUUGUGCUGCUGGCUUCUUUGGUUAUAUGCUUGCGAUGCUCCAACGCCGGCUUUUAGGAAUGUCAUCAACAACAGAUGUAAGUUUGUCAUACUUUUUUAUGUGUACCACCCCUCCUCCCCACCCCCAAUGAAAAGGUGCACAUAUGUAAAUUUGCUGACAAGUAGAAUUUAUAACUAAUGUUUGGACCACAGUUUGUAGGCUUGCGGUAAACUAGCACAUUGGUACAUGCAUAUUUCACCAUCAACCUUUGGUUAUGCUACUGCUAAUAUUCUUAUAUUCAUAAUCUUAUGGCUGCAGCCGUGCAGCCUGUGCACCCAAUUUCUGAUACCAAUCCUCACAGCUGCUAGAACCGGAUGUGUGCCACAACAGUUAAAAUGCAAUUUUUAUGGUUAAAAUAAUAUAUGUUUAGAUGAUAUUUCAGCUUUAGAUAACUGGUUUUGUUAGCUAGGCAAUUGAACAAUGAUAAUGUACUGCUUUUGAGAACUCAUCUAUAGAAGGAAGCAUAAAAAAUAAAUGACAAUUUAAUUUUGUUAUCGUAUUGUAGAUCAUUGUUAAAGUAAGAAAAAAAUGACCAAAUGUAUUAUCUUUGUUCAUGUCACUCAUGUAUCAAUGUAAAGUUGCAUCUUUAUUAAACUAAAAUUUUACCUUACAGGAUCCUCAAGCGCCUCCAAGACCCAGCAUUGCAAGUAUCCCUCCAUCAUACCAGAAGCCUUUAAAUCCUUAUAUUCGUCAUCCAUUCAUCCCGAGAGAAGAAACUGCAAAACAGGAAACCGGAGAGGGGUUCUUCACCACAGCUGGCAAACUCAUGGGAGGGGCAAAAUCAUCUGUGGGUGAGAUAUUUGGUUUCAAGAAGAAGCGCCUGAGCAGCCCAUACCAUCAUCAGCAGCAGCAGCAGCGAAGAGCUAACCCGUGGCCAGUGCAAGAAAG
rnacentral:lncRNA from 1 species